UGUAAAGUUCAAGCUCCGAUUAUGAGGGCAAAACCGCGAAUGGCUCAUUAAAUCAGUCAUAAUCUACUUGAUUGUUUAAAGUUUAUAUGGAUAACUGUGGUAAUUCUAGAGCUAAUACAUGCACAAAAGGGGCGACUCUUUAACGAGAGAAGCUCUGCGUUUAUUAGACUAAGACCAAUGAUUGGGGCAACUCAAUCUUUUAUUAAGGUGACUCUGAGUAAAUAAUGGGCUAACACCCAUGUUGCUGACCUGACAUACCAAAAGCUCGCAAGGGCUGUCAGGCAAAUCAAUCGAGUGUCUGAUCUAUCAACUGUGGAUGGUAGGAUAAUUGCCUACCAUGGUGAUGACGGGUAACGGGGAGUUAGGGCUCGACUCCGGAGAACAAGCCUGAGAAACGGCUAGUAGGACUAAGGUCUGCAGCAGGCGCGAAACUUACACAAUGCUAGAUUACAAUUAGCGAUGUAGUGAAGAAAAAUAACGAUGUACUUAUGUUUAAACACAUUAGUACAAUUGGAAUGAGACGACUAUAAACCAGUUAGUCGAGUAACAAAUGGAGGGCAAGUCUGGUGCCAGCAGCCGCGGUAAUUCCAGCUCCAUUAGCAUACAUUAAAGUUGUUGCGGUUAAAAAGCUCGUAGUUGAAUUUUAGGUGGGCUCUAUUGGGCUGCAAUCGUUAAGGUCCACCAUAUCUUCGGAUUGGUUGUGACUGGUUGUAUUUGUCCUAUAGGAACCCACUGUUUCGUCACUUAAUCGAGUGCGAAGCGGGCUGGUACUAGGAUGCAUUCGUGUGUCUUGUAACAGCAAGUUUACCUUGAGAAAAUUAGAGUGCUCACAGCAGGCAGUUGGGGUGUAAAAGCUCCUUUAUGCUUGAAUAAUGUUGCAUGGAAUAAUAGAAUACGGCCUCGGUUCUAUUCUGUUGGUCUUAUAGAACAACAAACAAGUUGGUUGGGGCGAUCAAAAGUUUGUUUGCGAGUGUGGGCUAAGAUUGUUAGUUCAAACAGCUGAUGGAUUAUGUUACCUAGGGCCUUAAAAUCUUAGCGUCAUGUCCCUCUCAGUAUGCGUCUAACUUCUUAUUCCAUCAAAAGCACUCCUUAUAAGCUAGCCCUUCUAAUCAACUGAGGCAAUGGUUAAAAGAAAUAGUCGCGGCGGCAUCAGUACUGCAUCGUGAGAGGUGAAAUUCUUAGACCGAUGC
rnacentral:rRNA from 1 species